GUUAUAUGGUCAAGUGAAGAAGCGCAUACGGUGGAUGCCUUGGCAGUCAGAGGCGAUGAAAGACGUGGUAGCCUGCGAAAAGCUUCGGGGAGUCGGCAAACAGACUGUGAUCCGGAGAUAUCUGAAUGGGGGAACCCAGCCAUCAUAAGAUGGUUAUCUUGUACUGAAUACAUAGGUGCAAGAGGCGAACCAGGGGAACUGAAACAUCUAAGUACCCUGAGGAAAAGAAAUCAACCGAGAUUCCCUUAGUAGUGGCGAGCGAACGGGGACCAGCCCUUAAGUUGUAUUGAGAUUAGCGGAACGUUCUGGAAAGGACGGCCAUAGUGGGUGAUAGCCCUGUACGCGAAAAUCCCUUUGCAAUGAAAUCGAGUAGGACGGGGCACGAGAAACCUUGUCUGAAUAUGGGGGGACCAUCCUCCAAGGCUAAAUACUACUGACUGACCGAUAGUGAACCAGUACCGUGAGGGAAAGGCGAAAAGAACCGCGGAGAGCGGAGUGAAAUAGAUCCUGAAACCGUAUGCGUACAAGCAGUGGGAGCCCACUUUGCUGGGUGACUGCGUACCUUUUGUAUAAUGGGUCAGCGACUUAUUUUCAGUGGCGAGCUUAACCGAAUAGGGGAGGCGUAGCGAAAGCGAGUCUUAAUAGGGCGUCUAGUCGCUGGGAAUAGACCCGAAACCGGGCGAUCUAUCCAUGGGCAGGUUGAAGGUUGGGUAACACUAACUGGAGGACCGAACCGACUACCGUUGAAAAGUUAGCGGAUGACCUGUGGAUCGGAGUGAAAGGCUAAUCAAGCUCGGAGAUAGCUGGUUCUCCUCGAAAGCUAUUUAGGUAGCGCCUCAUGUAUCACUGUAGGGGGUAGAGCACUGUUUCGGCUAGGGGGUCAUCCCGACUUACCAAACCGAUGCAAACUCCGAAUACCUACAAGUGCCGAGCAUGGGAGACACACGGCGGGUGCUAACGUCCGUCGUGAAAAGGGAAACAACCCAGACCGUCAGCUAAGGUCCCAAAGUCAUGGUUAAGUGGGAAACGAUGUGGGAAGGCUUAGACAGCUAGGAGGUUGGCUUAGAAGCAGCCACCCUUUAAAGAAAGCGUAAUAGCUCACUAGUCGAGUCGGCCUGCGCGGAAGAUGUAACGGGGCUCAAACCAUGCACCGAAGCUACGGGUAUCAUCUUAUGAUGAUGCGGUAGAGGAGCGUUCUGUAAGCCUGUGAAGGUGAGUUGAGAAGCUUGCUGGAGGUAUCAGAAGUGCGAAUGCUGACAUGAGUAACGACAAUGGGUGUGAAAAACACCCACGCCGAAAGACCAAGGUUUCCUGCGCAACGUUAAUCGACGCAGGGUUAGUCGGUCCCUAAGGCGAGGCUGAAAAGCGUAGUCGAUGGAAAACAGGUUAAUAUUCCUGUACUUCUGGUUAUUGCGAUGGAGGGACGGAGAAGGCUAGGCCAGCCUGGCGUUGGUUGUCCAGGUUUAAGGUGGUAGGCUGAGAUCUUAGGUAAAUCCGGGAUCUUAAGGCCGAGAGCUGAUGACGAGUGUUCUUUUAGAACACGAAGUGGUUGAUGCCAUGCUUCCAAGAAAAGCUUCUAAGCUUCAGGUAACCAGGAACCGUACCCCAAACCGACACAGGUGGUUGGGUAGAGAAUACCAAGGCGCUUGAGAGAACUCGGGUGAAGGAACUAGGCAAAAUGGCACCGUAACUUCGGGAGAAGGUGCGCCGGUGGAGGUGAAGCAUUUACUGCGUAAGCCCCUGCCGGUCGAAGAUACCAGGCCGCUGCGACUGUUUAUUAAAAACACAGCACUCUGCAAACACGAAAGUGGACGUAUAGGGUGUGACGCCUGCCCGGUGCCGGAAGGUUAAUUGAUGGGGUUAGCGCAAGCGAAGCUCUUGAUCGAAGCCCCGGUAAACGGCGGCCGUAACUAUAACGGUCCUAAGGUAGCGAAAUUCCUUGUCGGGUAAGUUCCGACCUGCACGAAUGGCGUAACGAUGGCGGCGCUGUCUCCACCCGAGACUCAGUGAAAUUGAAAUCGCUGUGAAGAUGCAGUGUAUCCGCGGCUAGACGGAAAGACCCCGUGAACCUUUACUAUAGCUUUGCACUGGACUUUGAAUUUGCUUGUGUAGGAUAGGUGGGAGGCUUUGAAGCGUGGACGCCAGUCUGCGUGGAGCCAACCUUGAAAUACCACCCUGGCAACUUUGAGGUUCUAACUCAGGUCCGUUAUCCGGAUCGAGGACAGUGUAUGGUGGGUAGUUUGACUGGGGCGGUCUCCUCCUAAAGAGUAACGGAGGAGUACGAAGGUGCGCUCAGACCGGUCGGAAAUCGGUCGUAGAGUAUAAAGGCAAAAGCGCGCUUGACUGCGAGACAGACACGUCGAGCAGGUACGAAAGUAGGUCUUAGUGAUCCGGUGGUUCUGUAUGGAAGGGCCAUCGCUCAACGGAUAAAAGGUACUCCGGGGAUAACAGGCUGAUACCGCCCAAGAGUUCAUAUCGACGGCGGUGUUUGGCACCUCGAUGUCGGCUCAUCACAUCCUGGGGCUGAAGCCGGUCCCAAGGGUAUGGCUGUUCGCCAUUUAAAGUGGUACGCGAGCUGGGUUUAGAACGUCGUGAGACAGUUCGGUCCCUAUCUGCCGUGGACGUUUGAGAUUUGAGAGGGGCUGCUCCUAGUACGAGAGGACCGGAGUGGACGAACCUCUGGUGUUCCGGUUGUCACGCCAGUGGCAUUGCCGGGUAGCUAUGUUCGGAAAAGAUAACCGCUGAAAGCAUCUAAGCGGGAAACUUGCCUCAAGAUGAGAUCUCACUGGAACCUUGAGUUCCCUGAAGGGCCGUCGAAGACUACGACGUUGAUAGGUUGGGUGUGUAAGCGCUGUGAGGCGUUGAGCUAACCAAUACUAAUUGCCCGUGAGGCUUGACCAUAUAACACCCAAGCAAUU
rnacentral:rRNA from 1 species